rnacentral:rRNA from 2 species
UACGAGGGGGGCAAGCGUUGUUCGGAAUUAUUGGGCGUAAAGGGUGCGUAGGCGGCCUGACAAGUCUGAUGUGAAAUCCCUGGGCUCAACCCAGGGCCUGCAUCGGAAACUGUCGGGCUUGAGUAUGGGAGAGGUGAGUGGAAUUUCCGGUGUAGCGGUGAAAUGCGUAGAUAUCGGAAGGAACACCUGUGGCGAAAGCGGCUCACUGGACCAUUACUGACGCUGAGGCACGAAAGCUAGGGGAGCAAACAGG